rnacentral:rRNA from 1 species
GGCGAACGCUGGCGGCGUGCCUAACACAUGCAAGUCGAACGAGGUCCAAGGGAGCUUGCUCCCUGAAGACCUAGUGGCGAACGGGUGAGUAACACGUGAGAAACCUGCCCUCGAGUGGGGAAUAACCCGGGGAAACCCGGGCUAAUACCGCAUACGCUCCUCUGGUCGCAUGGCCGGAGGAGGAAAGUUUUUCGCUCAAGGAGGGUCUCGCGGCCUAUCAGCUUGUUGGCGGGGUAACGGCCCACCAAGGCUACGACGGGUAGCUGGUUUGAGAGAACGAUCAGCCACACUGGGACUGAGACACGGCCCAGACUCCUACGGGAGGCAGCAGUGGGGAAUCUUGCGCAAUGGGCGAAAGCCUGACGCAGCAACGCCGCGUGCGGGAUGACGGCCUUCGUGGUUGUAAACCGCUUUCAGCAGGGACGAAAAUGACGGUACCUGCAGAAGAAGCUCCGGCUAACUACGUGCCAGCCGCCGCGGUAA